rnacentral:rRNA from 1 species
CCUACGGGGGGCAGCAGUGAGGAAUAUUGGUCAAUGGGCGGAAGCCUGAACCAGCCAAGUAGCGUGCAGGAUGACGGCCCUACGGGUUGUAAACUGCUUUUAUACGGGAAUAACGCGCCUUACGUGUAGGGCUUUGCAUGUACCGUAUGAAUAAGGACCGGCUAAUUCCGGGCCAGCAGCCGCGGUAAUACGGAAGGUCCGGGCGUUUUCCGGAUUUAUUGGGGUUAAAGGGAGCGUAGGCCGCAUGUCAUGCGUGCUGUGAAAUGUCCGGGCUAAACCCGGGCCUUGCAGCGCAAACUGGGGUGCUUGAGUCCGCGGAAAGCAGGCGGAAUUCGUCGGGUAGCGGGGAAAUGCUUAGAUAUGACGAAGAACCCCGAGUGCGAGGGCAGCUUGCUGCAGCGGAACUGAGGCUGAUGCUCGAAAGCGCGGGUAUCGAACAGGAGUAGAUACCCCUGUAGUC